rnacentral:rRNA from 1 species
GACGAACGCUGGCGGCGUGCUUAACACAUGCAAGUCGAACGGCAAGGCCCUGCUUUUGUGGGGUGCUCGAGUGGCGAACGGGUGAGUAACACGUGAGUAACCUGCCCUUGACUUUGGGAUAACUUCAGGAAACUGGGGCUAAUACCGUAUAGGAGCUCCUGCUCCAUGGUGGGGGUUGGAAAGUUUCGGCGGUUGGGGAUGGACUCGCGGCUUAUCAGCUUGUUGGUUGGGUAGUGGCUUACCAAGGCUUUGACGGGUAGCCGGCCUGAGAGGGUGACCGGCCACAUUGGGACUGAGAUACGGCACAGACUCCUACGGGAGGCAGAAGUGGGGAAUAUUGCACAAUGGGCGGAAGCCUGAUGCAGCAACGCCGCGUGCGGGAUGACGGCCUUCGGGUUGUAAACCGCUUUCGCCUGUGACGAAGCGUGAGUGACGGUAAUGGGUAAAGAAGCACCGGCUAACUACGUG